AAACAUCGCCUCUUGUUUAAUUAUAAGAGGUCCAGCCUGCCCAGUGACUAAAUUUAACGGCCGCGGUAUCCUAACCGUGCGAAGGUAGCGUAAUCACUUGUUCUUUAAAUAAGGACUAGUAUGAAUGGCAUCACGAAGGUUAUACUGUCUCCCUUUUCUAAUCAGUGAAACUAAUCUCCCCGUGAAGAAGCGGGAAUAAAACUAUAAGACGAGAAGACCCUAUGGAGCUUUAGACUUUUUCGGUAAAUGAUACUUUUACAUUAUGCCCUCCGGGAACUAAAUUUAAUUUUCCCAUAAUAACCGUUAGUCUUAGGUUGGGGUGACCGCGGAGUAAAAUCAAACCUCCACGCUGAAAGAAAAUAAAUUUCUUAGCCAAGAGCUACAACUCUAAGCACCAAAAAUUUGACAUAAAUUGAUCCAAUUAAUUGAUCAACGAACCAAGUUACCCUAGGGAUAACAGCGCAAUCUACUUCAAGAGCUCCUAUCGACAAGUAGGUUUACGACCUCGAUGUUGGAUCAGGGUGUCCUAGUGGUGCAGCCGCUACUAAAGGUUCGUUUGUUCGACGAUUAAAACCCUACGUGAUCUGAGUUCAGACCG
rnacentral:rRNA from 1 species